UAUAACAGCAAUUUUUUAAAAAGAAGACAAUUUUUAUUUGUGCUAUCGUAUUUUACAAAACAUGGUUAAACCAUAUUAUAGGCUUGGAGGUUUAACGUCAUCCGAAAAACCUUUUAAAAAAUCUUCAUUAAUCGACUUAUAAAAAUAGAGAACAUCAAGCACGGCUCACUACAUCCCUGAAAAUAUAACGAGGAAAAAGAUAAAUUUAAAAUACUAAGACAACAUUAUUUCCGUAUGCAUCCGUCGUGAUGAUGGAAGUCAAGGAAAGAAAAAGAGACAAAAUUCUACUGAAAAUACGUAUCAUACAGAAUUUCUUAUUAGAAAGAUAG